AGUCUGCCUCCCUCGGCGGGCCGGGUCUCCAGGGAGGACCUGAUUUUUCUUCACCCAUAGUUAGGGAGGCGCAAUCGCCCUGGCUUUGGGGCUGGGGCCUCCGGGGAGGUUCCGGUAGGGGCGUUGGAGAGGCCGCUCUUUUUGCAAGGCCCGAGACGGCGGGCCCUGCGCAGGCCGCCCUAUUCCGCGCCCUCAGGGCGUCAGUAUCCGCCUGAGGCCGGAUACCCCAGCUGGGCCCGGAUGCCGUCGAUGGGCCCGGAGCAUCCUCGGCGCUGCCCUCCCAGAGCCCCGCAGAGGCUGAGGUGGCGCGGGGGGCGGGCCCGGCUCCGCGAGAAGCAGCGGCAGCGAGGGCUGGAGGACCCGGGCUACGGGGCUCUGGGGCGUCUGGCCUGGGUGGGACUGAGCCCAUUCGGGGGGACUCCGGGGUUCUGGUGUAGGUAGAUCCGGGGCAGGCUCAGGACCAAGUCCCUCUCCUUCCACCAAGGAGCGCCCAGAGGCCGGCGGGAGCUCCAGGUUCACCUCCUCCUCCUCCAGGAAAUCCCACUUCCAACUGGAUGUCUGGAUGAACUACUGAAAGCUGCUGAGUGUCCUGCAGCAGGUGAGCUGUGGCCAGAGCCCAAGGAUGAAGGGGGCUCCCUCACUCUGUUACUGUGAAGAGGAAGCCUGAGGUGUAGCAGGCCCAGGCCCCAGAAGUAUGGAAAAAAAUGAGGUAGGGAGGGAGGGGACCUCAGGAGAAGACUGAGGUCUACAGAAUCCCAGGGUCAAGGGGAUGGUGCAGUGUUCUGGCACUAUCCUUGAUGUUCCAAGAGGGGUGAGAAUCCAUCUCCUGAGUAAAAACUUCACAUGGGGUGAGGAGGGGAGAAGAGAACAGAAAGGAAGCAGGGAAGGCCAAGACAGCCACCAGCCUUACAGCAAUUUUAACCAGAAAUGGACACAGACCCUGGACCCCAUCACAGGAGUGCAGGCCUAGGACUGUCUCCAGGUGAUGCAUAGCUCCCUUGUCAGGUUAGUGGGUUCAGGGAUUGUGACGUCUGCAGGGGUGUGGAAGGCUGGGCAAUGGGAGCAGCUUACUGGGCUGGACCAGAAAUACUGAACUUCUUUUCCAUCAGUGAAAUCCACUUCUGGGUCAGAAAAAACUGUGAGUUCUAGAGGGGCAGGGCCUAGGAGGAGGUCAGGUCCUGAGCCUUCCUGGUUUGACCCCCUCCCACCCCCUGUGUUUCUGGGUCUGUCCUCACUUCCACCCAGCGGAUCCUGAGUCUCUUCCUUUGAGUCCCUGUGAGUGUGUUGUGUGCAGUGGGGCCGGGCUGCUUCAUCCACUGCACGUUAAAUGUUUCCAACACUUUCCGGCCAAAGCUUAGAGUUGUCAGACCACCGACUUUGAAUGUUGACCUGGUUCCUUGUGGAACAGAGUAAUAGCUAUUGAAGUUUAAAGUCACUUUCCUGCGUGGAUGGUGAAGAGGCAGGCUGUUCAGGCAUAACUGCCCUCAGGCCUGGAGGGCUGUGGAGGUCACCGUUGGCGGUGGGUGGAUCUGGAACCUCUGUGGCUCUAGACUUUCAACUAUUUCAUUUUUUCUUUUGUAGUUUUUGUUUGUUGCUUGCUUUUUUACAAUGGGAACUAGAAUGUAAGAUGCCAAACUCAGCCUGUGGGGAACAUGGAUUUUCACAACAGCAACCACAGAGCGUGGUUUCCAUUUCUAUUCCCUGUUCAUGUGGGAGGCAGAGAAGGAAAUCAGGUGCUCAGUUCCAGGGACAUCACAGGACUAGGACAUGUGCAGUGAGGGUGGAAGGCAGAGGCAUUGCUUUAGGAGAAUAAAAUUACUGCAUGCACACACAUAUGUAUGUAUAUGGAUGUAUGUACACAAACAUGCAUAUUUAUAGAUUCUGUUCUCUCUCUCUAUAUACAAUUUUCUUUAUUUCACACUUGAUAUGAUUUCUAAAUUUAAAUACCUUUGAGACAAACGUGAAUUGUGAUGGGAUUUAAAAAUGUCAGUGAAAAAUGGAAUUAACAAUAAAAAUAUAAAUAUAAACUUUAUUUCUCAAUUUAAGCUCUACUGAGGUCCAGACACUCCAUUAAGCGAUGAUCCCAGCCAUUCAUUCCAUUGCUAAAGAACUGAGGGUAAUGGGAAUUUAACCGUGUCAAUGCAGUCUUCUAUUAUUAACUAAAGAAAAAUGGGUGCCCUUUACAGUUAUUUUAAGAUUAGGGAAAAAAUGUCAGAAGAAACCAAAUCAGGACUGUAAUGUUGAUGCCUAAUAAUUUCCCAUGAAAACUCUUGCAAAAUUACCCAUGUUUGAUGAGAGGAAGGAACAGAAGUGUUGUUGUGGUGCAGAGGGACUCUCUAGUGAAGCUUUACAGGGCGCUUUUCUGCAAAAGUAUUUGCUAAUUUUCUCUAAGAACUCUCCUAGUAAGCAGAUGUUAUGGUGCUUUGAUCUUACAGAAAGUCAACCAGCAAAAUGCCUUGAGCAUCCCCAAAACCUCCAUGGCUUUUGCUUUUGAGAAGUUUGCUUUUGCUUUGACUGGACCACUUCUACCUCUUGGUAGCCAUUGCUUGAAUUGUGCUUUGUCUUCAGGAUCUUAUUGAUAAAGCCAGUUUCACUCCCUGUUAUAAUUCUUCAAAAUAAUGCUUCAGGAUCUGAUUCCGCUUGCUCAAAAUAGUUACUAAUAGCUCUGCUUUUGUCCACUGCUGAUCUAGGCACAAGGGUAUUUGGGACUCAUCAAAUGUAAAAUUUCUCAACUUUCACGUUAUAGUCAGUAUUGUGUAAGCUGAACCAAUUGAGAUGCCUGUGGUGUUGGCUAUAGUAUCUCUUGCUAAUUGUCAAUCCUCCUCAAUUAGGGCAUAGAAACGAUUUUUUUUCUCAAAAAUUGGUAUGGAUGUCCCUCCUCUGUUGACUUCAUCUUCAACAUUGUAUUAUCUCUUCUUAGAAUAAGGUAUCCAUUUGUAAAUGACUGAUUCUUCAGGUUAUUUUUCCCGUACACUUUUCAUAAAGAAUAAUUUAUUUCACCAUUUUUUGUACCCCAGCUUCACCGUAAAUUUGAUGUUUGUUCUUGCUUCAGGUUUGACAGAAUUCAUGUUGCUGCCAUAGAGGGGCUCUUUUCAAACUGAUGUCUUAAAUCUUGUUCAGAUAUGUUAAAACAGGGCCAGGCACGGUGGCUUACGCCUGUAAUCCCUGCAUUUUGGAAUUUU
rnacentral:lncRNA from 10 species